rnacentral:tRNA from 1 species
CCUUCGAUAGCUCAGUUGGUAGAGCGGUGGACUGUAGUUGGAAAUGAUCGAGAUUCCCCGGAGAAAUCCAUAGGUCGCUGGUUCAAAUCCGGCUCGAAGGA